rnacentral:rRNA from 1 species
UACGUAGGGGGGCAAGCGUUUGUCCGGAUUUAUUGGGCGUAAAGAGCGUGUAGGCGGCUAGAUAGGUCCGUUGUGAAAACUCGAGGCUCAACCUCGAGACGUCGAUGGAAACCAUCUGGCUAGAGUCCGGAAGAGGAGAGUGGAAUUCCUGGUGUAGCGGUGAAAUGCGCAGAUAUCAGGAAGAACACCCGUGGCGAAGGCGGCUCUCUGGUACGUGACUGACGCUGAGACGCGAAAAGCGUGGGGAGCAAACAGG